rnacentral:rRNA from 1 species
AGUCGAACGAGAGAUGAGGAGCUUGCUCUUCAAAUCGAGUGGCGAACGGGUGAGUAACGCGUGAGGAACCUGCCUCAAAGAGGGGGACAACAGUUGGAAACGACUGCUAAUACCGCAUAAGCCCACGGCUCGGCAUCGAGCAGAGGGAAAAGGAGCAAUCCGCUUUGAGAUGGCCUCGCGUCCGAUUAGCUAGUUGGUGAGGUAAUGGCCCACCAAGGCGACGAUCGGUAGCCGGACUGAGAGGUUGAACGGCCACAUUGGGACUGAGACACGGCCCAGACUCCUACGGGAGGCAGCAGUGGGGAAUAUUGCACAAUGGGGGAAACCCUGAUGCAGCGACGCCGCGUGGAGGAAGAAGGUCUUCGGAUUGUAAACUCCUGUUGUUGAGGAAGAUAAUGACGGUACUCAACAAGGAAGUGACGGCUAACUACGUGCCAGCAGCCGCGGUAAAACGUAGGUCACAAGCGUUGUCCGGAAUUACUGGGUGUAAAGGGAGCGCAGGCGGGAGAACAAGUUGGAAGUGAAAUCCAUGGGCUCAACCCAUGAACUGCUUUCAAAACUGUUUUUCUUGAGUAGUGCAGAGGUGGGCGGAAUUCCCGGUGUAGCGGUGGAAUGCGUAGAUAUCGGGAGGAACACCAGUGGCGAAGGCGGCCUACUGGGCACCAACUGACGCUGAGGCUCGAAAGUGUGGGUAGCAAACAGGAUUAGAUACCCUGGUAGUCCACACCGUAAACGAUGAUUACUAGGUGUUGGGGGAUUGACCCC